rnacentral:rRNA from 1 species
CCUACGGGUGGCUGCAGUAAGGAAUAUUGGUCAAUGGAGGAAACUCUGAACCAGCCAUCCCGCGUGAAGGAUGAAGGGGCUCUGCCUUGUAAACUUCUUUUGUCUGGGGCGAAAAAGCUCGAUUUAUCGAGAACUGACGGUACCAGAAGAAUAAGCACCGGCUAACUCCGUGCCAGCAGCCGCGGUAAUACGGAGGGUGCAGGCGUUACCCGGAAUCACUGGUGUGUAGGCGUCUGUAGGCGGCUGUGGAGAAAGGCUGUGGCUUAACCAUGGAAUUGCCAUUGAUACUGCAGAGCUGGAAUGAGGUUGAGGUUGGCGGAAUGUGACAUGUAGCGGUGAAAUGCUUAGAUAUGUCAUGGAACACCAAUUGCGAAGGCAGCUGACUGGACCUAUAUUGACGCUGAGGAACGAAAGCGUGGGGAGCGAACAGGAUUAGAUACCCGUGUAGUC